rnacentral:rRNA from 1 species
GUUUCCGGGUCUUGACCUCGCCCGUCAACCAUGAGAGUUUGUAAACCCAAAGCCGGUGGGGAUUCGCAAGGAGCCAGCCGCGAAGGUGGGAUGAUGAUUGGUGCGAAGUCGUAAAAGGUAGCCGUAGGAGAACCUGCGGCUGGAUCACCUCAUUU